rnacentral:rRNA from 1 species
AUUGAACGCUGGCGGCAUGGCUAAAACAUGCAAGUCGAACGCCAAAGGGAGCUUGCUCCCAAGUAGCGUGGCGAAAGGGCGAGGAAUACAUUCCUACGUACCCCAAGGUCGGGAUAGCCCGGGGAAACCCGGUGUAAUACCCGAUGUGGCCCGCGAGGAUCAAAGGUUUACCGCCUUGGGAGCGGGGAAUGUCCUAUCAGGUAGUUGGUGAGGUAAUGGCUCACCAAGCCGAAGACGGGUAGCGGGUGUGAGAGCACGACCCGCCGCAUCGGGACUGAGACACUGCCCGGACUCCUACGGGAGGCUGCAGUAACGAAUCUUCCGCAAUGCGCGAAAGCGUGACGGGGCAAUGCCGCGUGCAGGAUUGAAGCCCCUCGGGGUGUAAACUGCUGUCAAGGUCUAGGAACUCAAUGACCAGACCUAAAGGAAGGGCCGGCUAACUCUGUGCCAGCAGCCGCGGUAAUACAGAGGGCUCGAGCGUUAAUCGGAAUCACUGGGCUUAAAGCGUGCGUAGGCGGGCGUGUAAGCAUCUUGUGAAAGCCCCCGGCUCAACCGGGGAAUUGCUUGGUGAACUGCACGUCUUGAGGCAAGUAGAGGUGGUCGGAACGAUAGGUGGAGCGGUGAAAUGCGUAGAUAUCUAUCGGAACGCCAACGGAGAAGUCAGGCCACUGGGCUUGUUCUGACGCUGAGGCACGAAAGCGUGGGUAGCGAACGGGAUUAGAUACCCCGGUAGUCCACGCCGUAAACGAUGCGCACUAGGUCGAGGAGGUUUGACGCCCUCUUGGCCGAAGCAAAAGUGUUAAGUGCGCCGCCUGGGGAGUACGGUCGCAAGGCUA